GGCUCAGGACGAACGCUGGCGGCGUGCCUAAUACAUGCAAGUAGAACGCUGAGGACUGGUGCUUGCACUGGUCUAAGGAGUUGCGAACGGGUGAGUAACGCGUAGGUAACCUACCUCAUAGCGGGGGAUAACUAUUGGAAACGAUAGCUAAUACCGCAUGACAAUAGGGUACACAUGUACCCUAUUUAAAAGGGGCAAAUGCUUCACUAUGAGAUGGACCUGCGUUGUAUUAGCUAGUUGGUAAGGUAACGGCUUACCAAGGCGACGAUACAUAGCCGACCUGAGAGGGUGAUCGGCCACACUGGGACUGAGACACGGCCCAGACUCCUACGGGAGGCAGCAGUAGGGAAUCUUCGGCNAUGGGGGGAACCCUGACCGAGCAACGCCGCGUGAGUGAAGAAAGGUUUUCGGAUCGUAAAGCUCUGUUGUUAG
rnacentral:rRNA from 1 species